GACAGAGGAUGCAAGCGUUAUCCGGAAUCACUGGGCGUAAAGCGUCUGUAGGUGGUUUAAUAAGUCAACUGUUAAAUCUUGAGGCUCAACCUCAAAAUCGCAGUCGAAACUAUUAGGCUAGAGUAUAGUAGGGGUAAAGGGAAUUUCCAGUGGAGCGGUGAAAUGCGUAGAGAUCGGAAAGAACACCAACGGCGAAAGCACUCUGCUGGGCCGACACUGACACUGAGAGACGAAAGCUAGGGGAGCGAAUGGG
rnacentral:rRNA from 1 species